rnacentral:rRNA from 1 species
GAUGAACGCUGGCGGCGUGCUUAACACAUGCAAGUCGAACGAUGAAGCCCAGCUUGCUGGGUGGUUUAGUGGCGAACGGGUGAGUAACACGUGAGUAACCUGCCCUUAACUCUGGGAUAAGCCUGUGAAACUGGGUCUAAUACCGGCUAGGAGCGUCCACCGCAUGGUGGGUGUUGGAAAGAUUUAUCGGUUUUGGAUGGACUCGCGGCCUAUCAGCUUGUUGGUGAGGUAAUGGCUCACCAAGGCGUCGACGGGUAGCCGGCCUGAGAGGGUGACCGGCCACACUGGGACUGAGAGACGGCCCAGACUCCUACGGGAGGCAGCAGGGGGGAAUAUUGCACAAUGGGGGCAAGCCUGAUGCAGAGACGCCGCGUGAGGGAUGACGGCCUUCGGGUUGUAAACAUCUUUCAGUAGGGAAGAAGCGAAAGUGACGGUACCUGAAGAAGAAGCACCGGCUAACUACGUG